CGAACUCGGUUCUCCACGAUACCAUUUCUUUAAGCUGAAUAAUACUAAAUAAUAAUACAUUCAAACUUAAUUUACAUACAUCAAAGUUUACUUCCCCAGGUACGUGACCUUCAAAUACAUUCCUUACAAUACCUGACAAUAGAUUCCAUUGUCUUACUAACUAUAACCAUUAACUCAUACUAAAUCUCAUUCGAACAGCUUUUCUUUUCCCUUGUUCGUGCCUGAGCCUUCAGGUCGAUCGUAC
rnacentral:lncRNA from 1 species